GACGAACGCUGGCGGCGUGCUUAACACAUGCAAGUCGAACGGAAAGGCCCUGCUUUUGUGGGGUGCUCGAGUGGCGAACGGGUGAGUAACACGUGAGUAACCUGCCCUUGACUUUGGGAUAACUUCAGGAAACUGGGGCUAACCCCGGAUAGGAGCUCCUGCUGCAGGGUGGGGUUGGGAAAGUUUCGGCGGUUGGGGAUGGACUCGCGGCUUACCAGCUUGUGGGGGGGGUAGUGGCUUACCAAGGCUUGGACGGGUAGCCGGCCUGGGAGGGUAACCGGCCACAUUGGGACUAAGAUACGGCCCAGACUCCUACGGGAGGCAGCAGUGGGAAAUAUUGCACAAUGAGCGGAAGCCUGAUGCAGCAACGCCGCGUGCGGGAUGACGGCCUUCGGGUUGUAAACCGCUUUCGCCUGUGACGAAGCGUGAGUGACGGUAAUGGGUAAAGAAGCACCGGCUAACUACGUG
rnacentral:rRNA from 1 species